rnacentral:hammerhead_ribozyme from 1 species
AUUCAGUUGAUGAGUCCUAAAUAGGACGAAACGAACGUUCUAGAU